UACGUAGGUGGCAAGCGUUGUCCGGAAUUAUUGGGCGUAAAGCGCGCGCAGGUGGUUCCUUAAGUCUGAUGUGAAAGCCCACGGCUCAACCGUGGAGGGUCAUUGGAAACUGGGGAACUUGAGUGCAGAAGAGGAAAGUGGAAUUCCAAGUGUAGCGGUGAAAUGCGUAGAGAUUUGGAGGAACACCAGUGGCGAAGGGCGACUUUCUGGUCUGGUAACUGACACUGAGGCGCGAAAGCG
rnacentral:rRNA from 1 species